CCGAGCAGACUUUGAAAGGAGGUUGAAGUGGGGCUCUUUUGAAGAUGAGACCCAGAAAGUCCUUUAGGCUUUUCUUAGAACCUGUUUUUGGAGUCUGUCGCAGGGUGUGUGGAAACAGAGGCUAGUAGGAUGUUUAUAUCAUGGAGAGGAUACAGAGUGCCUUAAUGAGUAAGUGGUGGCAGGCUGGCGUUGGGGGAGUCGGGGUCAACUGCGUGAGUGUAAGGUUAGUUCACUUGUAAACGGGCCAACCAUUGUGGGCGGCCUGCCUGGCUGGAGAGGCUAGACCAAGACGCGCCUCCCAGUUACCAUGGUAACCCUCCCUCUUCCCAACCCCGCCCCCCUUUACUGGCCCAAGGUAAGGUCGGGAGUGGUUGCCUUGGGUGACUGGAAGGCUCCGCCCCUCGCUCCCAGCUGCCGCUCUCCCUCCACUGGACUGCCUUCCCGCCUGCCUGGCAGUGGGAGGGCGCGGCAGCUGAAUCGUCACAUCCGGGAGGGUGGGUGAGUUCCGGUAUUUCAGGGCGGAGCAGGCGGAAGCAGGGGUGAGGAGCGGCUGCAACGCCGAGCGGAGGAGGCAGGAACAGGAGCGCGAGCAGGAGCAGGGUAGGCACCAUGGCUGGGAUCACCACCAUCGAGGCGGUGAAGCGCAAGAUCCAGGUUCUGCAACAGCAGGCUGAUGAUGCAGAGGAGAGAGCCGAGCGCCUCCAGCGGGAAGUGGAGGGAGAAAAGCGGGCCCGGAACAGGCUGAGGUAGCCUCCUUGAACCGUAGGAUCCAGCUGGUUGAAGAGGAGCUGGAUCGUGCUCAGGAGCGCCUGGCCACUGCCCUGCAAAAGCUGGAGGAAGCGGAAAAAGCUGCUGAUGAGAGUGAGAGAGGUAUGAAGGUGAUUGAAAACCGGGCCUUAAAAGAUGAAGAAAAGAUGGAACUCCAGGAAAUCCAACUCAAAGAAGCUAAACAUAUU